UGCGAGCUUCCCACAACAGUGGUCCAUGUGGGAGGGAUGUCCGGGCUGUGAGCUUCUCCCAGCAGUGCCCCCAAGGGGGCAGGUGUGUGGGUCUGGGCUGUGAGCUUCUCCCAGCAGUGCCCCCAAGGGGCCAGGGUGUGUGGGUCUGGGCUGUGAGCUUCUCCCAGCAGUGCCCCCAAGGGGCCAGGGUGUGUGGGUCUGGGCUGUGAGCUUCUCCCAGCAGUGCCGCCAGGGGGGCAGGGUAUGUGGGUCCGGGCUGUGAGCUUCUCCCAGCAGUGCCCCCAAGGGGGCAGGGUGUCUGGGUCCGGGCUGUGAGCUUCUCCCAGCAGUGCCUCCAAGGGGGCAGGGUGUGUGGGUCCGGGCUGUGAGCUUCUCCCAGCAUGCCCCCAAGGGGGCAGGGUGUGUGGGUCUGGGCUGUGAGCUUCUCCCAGCAGUGCCGCGAGUGGGGGAAGGGGGUCCAGGCUGCGAGAGCUUUCCCCCAGUGGGCAGGUUAUGUGGGUCCCAGCUGCAAGCU